rnacentral:lncRNA from 1 species
GGGCAGGUCUCACCUCGGCAUGCUACAGAGCUCACUGGGAGCCUGUCCCUCUACUCUAAAGGCCUUCAAUAACGCCUCUGUCCAGUCUCCUGAGGCUCUGAUGUGUACACUGAAGAAGUCCUCCUGGGGAGCGGAGGUGAGAGUGAAGGGGUGCCACUCCAGGGGGGAGACAGAUGGGCACUGGAUGAAGAUGUACUGUCCAGGUGCCAUCUUGAAGUCUCGCUUCUUCAUGUGAAGUUCCAGGACUGCAGAUGGGUGACUCACCACCUACAACAGAGCAAGAUAGCCAAGGGGAUUCUCACUCAGAUUUCUGCUUGCCCUCCCGACACUGCCUCUAAAGGACCUACUAUGUGCUUUCCUGCUAACAGAUCUAGGUUUCCACACUUGUUCCAGGCUUGAUUGACCUUCUACGGUUCUAAGCUUAAACUCAGAAACACAGAAACAUGUAAAAGCAGAAAUAGGAAUGC